ensembl:lncRNA
CUGAGUCAUUGGAGAGGCGAGGAGUCGUUUCCAGGCUCUGGGAUGUGGGCCUGGAGCAAGGCUGACUGACAGCACGGCCUGACAGCCAGUCCCUGGCUCCUGGACCCAGGGCAUGUGCUCGUCGCCCCUGCCUGCAAGCAGGGCAGGUAGGGGAGGAAGAAAAAGUCCCGGGCCCCUGCCCUGCUGGGUGAGAGGGUGGUGUGGAAUUCAGAAAGUGCUGCUGAGGGCCCUGGGGCAGGGACGUGGUGAGGAGCUCCACGGGGGCAGGGGUGGCUGGUGAGGGCUUCACCACUUUAACAGUGAUUCUGUUCCCUCUUGUCUCCACCUGCCCAACCUUGCUUCUUCCUGGGCAUAAUGGGCAGAAUCGAACAUGCUGUGUUUGAGGUCUUGUUCCAGUUGCGUGUGACUCUAGUUGAGUCAGGAGCAGACUGUAAGCAGCAGACAGGCCAGGUUCUGCGAUCCUUCCCAGCACACCGGGAACAAGCAGAACCCGGUGUUUAUCAAUGGUCCCAGGAGAUACCAGGCCCCUCCUCUUUCUUUGCAAGGGCAACACCCUCCAGAGCCUCACCGGGCCACUCCUACACAUCCUGCAAAGCCCUACUCAAUCAACACCACCUCGUCACGCUUCCCUUGACAUCUGCCUGCCUCAGCAAGAUGAGUCACACUCCCCUGAGCACAGGCUCGGACUCGGCCGGCAGCCUAUGCCUCUCGGGAGCUGUGUGGUCAUGGGAAACUCUUUGAGCCCCAGUGCCCUCAUCGGUACAAUGGGGAUGAUAGUACGACACUGCCCACGUGCGCUGUCGUGGACGUGACGGGAUUGCGUGGUGCUGGGAGUGGUGAGUACUCAAGGGGGGUUGGUUAAGUGAUGACAGGGUGGCUCAGAGCCCCGAGCACCCUCGGGCACCUGGGGACGCUGCUGCUCACGGUUUCUCGCUGUGCCCACAGGCGCUGGUGACUCCAGGGUAGCUGAGUCCGGGUCUGCAGGCUCUAGCAUGCUUCGCUGUCUCUGAGUCACUCACCCGAGGGCCUGAAAGUCAUGGCAGACAGGGUUGGGGGGCACCAGGGAAUCUGGAAGUCUGCUGGGCGGUCUGCUGACACCUGUCCUCUCAAGCCAGCGUGGGGGCCCGGGAGGUUUAAGCCACUUAGCAGGACGGAGGCGCCUGGGGAGGCCCUGGCUUCUCAGCUGGCAGGCGACACGAGCCUUUGGGAGCCCCGGGGGACUUGCCUUCCACACCUGCAGCUCCACGCGCUCGUGUGUACAAACACCCUAUUUACGUCUGAUUACAAACCAUUAGUGCAAUUAGGUUAGCCCCUCUCCCAUGUGCUGGGCCUGGAGCCAGCUGUGCUGGGGGCCAGGAUAGAAUAGCAAACAGCUUCCCGCAGAGGCAGCGCCUGCUCGGCCGGCUCUUGGGGCUCCGGGAACCCUGCUCUCUUGGGCUGGGGAGCCGGGGCUGCAGUGUCCCUGGGUCGGGGGCUGCUCUGUGCCUCCUGGAGCUGGGAUGAGGGGAGGGCCGGGCGGGCUCAGGCCAGGUCACCUGAUGGGCAUGGUCCUUCCCCAGGAGCGCUGUCCCUCUCAGGGCCCUCAUCUUCGCUCAGCUGCUGUUUGGUGCCAGGUGGCCCUUCUCUGUGGGGGCCGCCCCGUGCUCUGUAGGGAGUUUAGCAGCACCCACUAGAUGCCAACAGCACCACCUGAGCCAGGUCUACGUUCCAACACUGUCCCCCGCAUGUGUCAAGUGUCCCUGGGGCCUGGACCUUGCUUUGGCAUUCGGCCGUGUCGUCCUGCUGCUACGCUGCUCUGUUUGCGGUGUUGCCUCGUCAGCGCGAGGCCGCCCCUCCGCCUGCUCCCGCCCCAGCGCAGCAGCCUUUGAAGCCCAGACACUCUGUCACCUCUGGCCCUGUCGCCCCCAGGGGUGCCCGAGUCAGAGAGAUCCCACACGCUGCUCCCCUGACCCUCCACGUUGAGCACAGCCCCAGCCUGCUGGACUUAAAAGGGCCAUCUGAGCUGCGCACUUGACCAGGAGAAAGAGAAGAGGCCGCGGGCUGUUUGUUCUGGGAGUCGGGAGAGAGAGCGCGGUUCUUCAGAGCCUGGCUGGAGGCGUCCUCCUCCUAACUGCCCGCCCGCUGAGUCCUCGGCUGCUCCUCCCAGCGGGCACCCAGCCCCAGCUUCCUGCUCAGGACUCUCGUGAGCAUGUGCCCCAAACUUCCACUCCCCUGAACUGGGGAUGCGCCUUUUGGGUGCAGAGGUCUCACAGCUGCUGUCACCUGGGAUGUUUCCAGGAUGCGGCUGCUCAUGUGCAGACCCGAACUUGGCCACAGCUUGGGAUUGCUGGAAGCUAUGCCAGGACUUCCUGCCCAGCUCCCCUGCCUGCAACGUGCCUCCCAUCCCUCCCCCUGGCAACGUGACUUCGCUGCUUCUCCCCCGAGAGUGUGUCUGCUCCUACGGUGACCAGUCCUCAUGGUUGGCCUGGGGCUGGGACUCUGGGGACAUGGGACCUUCAGUGCUGUAGUUGGGAAAAUUCCAGGCGAAAUGUGGGGAGCCAGUCACACAUUUGUUUCCCAUCCCUUGAUCGGUCUUGACCUCGUGACUCAUUUUGGCCAAUGGGAUGUGGCCAGUGGGAUGCUGGCAUAACAGAUUCCCCCCAGAUAUCCCAUGCCCCAGGAUCUGCGACAUUUGCCAACUUCCUUGGUGUAAAUUCUCCUACCAUGGCUGCCAGCAUGACGUCACUGCACGGGGAGCAAGGAAGAGAGGAGCACGGCCGCUCUCCAGCUCGUCCCAGGGGUGGGGUAGAGCCCCGUGUGUGUCACACAGCCCUGAGGGUCCGUGAGCUCUGCUCUCCCCCUGGGACUGCCCUGGCUGGCCCGUGGGGGAUGAGACCACAGAGGGGGCAGGUGGUCCCAGCCAUGAUCCUUCCAGAACAGCCCAUGGCCAGCUCACUCCCCAGCACAGGAGAGGACUCAACCUAGGCCCAUAGAGCCACCCACCUGAUUCAAAGCUCACCUCACAUGUAUGGGUGAACCUCCUGGGGCCAGAAGAACCAAAUGUCACUCUACAGACUCACAAGCUUGUUGCGAAAUUCUGUUUUAAGCAACUGCCUUGCUUUAAUGAUAUUGUUUAAGCAAUUCUUCAUUUUUGGAGAGGUCUGUUACAAAGCAGCAGCUGGCUGAUACACAGCUGUUCAUAGCGUUCCCUCUAGUUGAGGUGUGUGUGCUGUUGGUACAUUGCUUGUGUUGAGUCUAACUGUUAUUUCAAAUCACUUCGAAAAAUUUACACUCUGAUUCUGCAAGCAAUGGGAGUCAUCACUUACAGCAGAAGCAGAGUGGCAGGGUUCCCUCUUACAUUAGCAAAGCCAAUGUUCAUCCUUGACGAAAUGACCUCAGUUCCAUAUUUUCAUACAGAGCAACACGUGUGCGCUUUAUGGCCCGGAGAGAGGAGAUUGCUCUGUUUUGUACGAAGAUGAAUGUCUUGCACAGGCCGAGCAGUGCGGCUGAAGGCAGGAGAGACCACCAAACCCCUCCAAAGAGAUGAUGGUGAUUACUGGGAUAGAUUGGCAUGACGGGGCCAUGGCCAUGCAGACCUGUCGAGGGGCACUGUGUUGUAACUGGCAGUGUUUUUUCUUAAUGUCACACAAAAACCAUGGUGUCUUAGAACCCAUGACAUCUUCAACUUGACAAAGUAAAGCAUCAUUUUUUAUCACCCUACUAGACCACCAGGCCUCUAUAGGCACUUGGUUUAGUGCUCUGCUUUGGCCGUGUUGACAUUUUCAUUUUUAAGCGUAUUUUCAUUUUCCGCUGGGCCCUGCAAGUAAUAAAGCUGGUCCCAUGAAUCA